rnacentral:rRNA from 1 species
UUUGAUCCAGAGAUUUCCGAAUGGGGAAACCCAGCAUGAGUUAUGUCAUGUUAUCGAUAUGUGAAUACAUAGCAUAUCAGAAGGCACACCCGGAGAACUGAAACAUCUUAGUACCCGGAGGAAGAGAAAGAAAAUUCGAUUCCCUUAGUAGCGGCGAGCGAAACGGGAAGAGCCCAAACCAACAAGCUUGCUUGUUGGGGUUGUAGGACACUCUAUACGGAGUUACAAAGGACGACAUUAGACGAAUCAUCUGGAAAGAUGAAUCAAAGAAGGUAAUAAUCCUGUAGUCGAAAAUGUUGUCUCUCUUGAGUGGAUCCUGAGUACGACGGAGCACGUGAAAUUCCGUCGGAAUCUGGGAGGACCAUCUCCUAAGGCUAAAUACUCUCUAGUGACCGAUAGUGAACCAGUACCGUGAGGGAAAGGUGAAAAGCACCCCGGAAGGGGAGUGAAAUAGAACCUGAAACCGUGUGCUUACAAGUAGUCAGAGCCCGUUAAUGGGUGAUGGCGUGCCUUUUGUAGAAUGAACCGGCGAGUUACGAUUUGAUGCAAGGUUAAGCAGUAAAUGUGGAGCCGUAGCGAAAGCGAGUCUGAAU